UACGUAGGGGGGCAAGCGUUGUCCGGAUUCAUUGGGCGUAAAGAGCGUGUAGGCGGCCAGGUAGGUCGGUUGUGAAAACUGGAGGCUCAACCUUCAGAGGUCGACCGAAACCAUCUGGCUAGAGUCCGGGAGAGGAGAGUGGAAUUCCUGGUGUAGCGGUGAAAUGCGCAGAUAUCAGGAAGAACACCCGUGGCGAAAGCGGCUCUCUGGAACGGUACUGGCGCUGAGACGCGAAAGCGUGGGGAGCGAACAGG
rnacentral:rRNA from 1 species